CGCAGUGUCUCCCACCGUAGCAUUCCCAACGCUCGGCAGCUCCCGCUGAUUCCAUUAACCUCGGCAAUCCAUCUGCAGCUGACUUUAGGAUCUGGGGUUAUGAUUCUGGGGCUGACAGGAGAGAAAUAACUUAUUCUCUGCACCUCUCCCAAGGAACAGGUUAGGGUGCUGCCUGUUCUGGACUCAUUCAGAAUUUAAUGAAGACAUUUGGCCUCUUCCAAAGGACUUGACUUGAUCCUGAGUGCUGAGAAGGUGAUUAAUGAGACACAUAGAAUCAGUGUGGUGCACAAUUAAAGCAGAGUAUCCUUUCCCAUCAUCCUGCGAGAAAACACGAACUAGUUUCAGUGUUACUUAUA